rnacentral:lncRNA from 1 species
CGGGGUCAGCAGGGCCAGCCUCGGGGGGCCUGGGGUGGCCGCCUCCCGGGCCCCCCAGGAGAAGAGGCUGGCCCUGUGGCUACAUACCGGGUCGCAGGGGAGGCCGGGCCCCCUGGUGGGCCGGGCCCGGUCGCAGCCGCGACCCCUGCGACCCUGGUAUGUACGCCACUGGCCAGGGUAUUGUCACACAAUAUUCAUAUCGAAACUCAGCAUAGAACACUGUAUACAGGGUGUUUCAAAAUGAUGGACCCAAACUCAAAGCAGUAUGUUUCAUGAUGGUAACAUGUUACAGUUACACCAAAAGUUACAAAUGGUUUAUUGAGUUAUCAAGUUUUACUAACCAUUUUAUAAAUGCUCUAUAUAGCCUCCACCUGCUUUAUGGGAAACAUUGAGAUUAUAGUUGAAUUUGUCCCAAACCUCUCUCAAAGUUUCUUCUUUCACUGAAGUCUUCGUUGCCUGAUUCUGUUUUUGAGGUCAUCCAGAUUAGUCACUAAUGGUGGCACAAAAACACGUUCUUUGACGUAUCCCCACAAGAUAAAGUUGCAAGGUGUAAUGUCUGGAGAUGGGUGCCAAGAGUGUAGCGCCAAGUCUUGGGGUUCCGUGCGACGUAUCGAAUGUUGAGGCAGUGUCUGAUGUAAAAACGUUGCACCCGCAGGUCAAUCCACCAAUGCGAAAAUGUGAUCCGCCAACGUGAAAAUUCUUUUCACAUAGGCAGAUUAAUGCUAAAACGCUGUUUUAACGCACGCUAAAUGUGGCGGUGCUCUGACUUGCUGAAAAAUGAAGACAUCGGAAUCUUCAUUAAGUUGUGGACAGAACAAGUUCUGCAGUAUUUCAAGAUACGUUUGCCACAUAUCUGUGUUUCCCUGGAAAAACAAAUGGCCAUAAACUUUUUUUUGAGAAGCGGCACAAAACAUGUUCACUUUCUGGGAAUUACGCUCAUUCGCUACAGUUUUGUGUGGAUUCCGUAAUCCACGUAUGCGCACAUUGUGACGGUUAACUUUACCACUUGAGUGAAAUGAAGUGUUGCUUCAUCACUAAAAAUCUAAAGCGGUAAGAAGCUGUCGUCCUCCAUGUUCUGUAACAUCGCAUCACUAAAUUCCAUACACUUUCCUUUGUCACCUGAAUGAAGAGCCUGUACCAGUUGCAACUGGUAUAACCACAUGAUUAAAUUAUUGCCUUAACACACACCAGACUACUGUAUAAGAGAUCGCAAGUUCUCGGCUGGCUCAACAAUCGAACUUGCUUGGGCUACCCCGAAAACUCCCUUGAAUUCGUUUCACAUUUUCCUCUGAAGUGCGUGGUCAUCCUGUGCUCUUCCCUUUAGAUCAGUGGUUCCCAAUCCAGUCCUCAAGUACCCCCUAUCAGUCCAGGAUUUAGGGAUUACCAAAUUGUGCCUAAGAUGUUUUUAGAAGAACAAAAAACACUUUGGAC